rnacentral:lncRNA from 1 species
CCAAAUACAUAAUGUACGCAUUUUCUCACAUAGCUGACUUCAAAAUUAGGGGUUUUCUCCUUCACUUCUGUGGGUUGAAUUUUCCCAACCAAAUUACUCCUCUUUCACUAAUCAUCCCAAUGAAAUGUAGUUGUGAUCAAUUGUAAACCUUUACUAAUCUUCUUAGCAAUAGAAAUUGUCAAGAAAUUGUUACUCUUUNNNNNNNNNNNNNNNNNNNNNNNNNNCUUUCCCAAGGAAAUGUCAGUUGUGUUGUCGUUGUCAUUCUGAUUUGGUGAAUUAAUAGUCAAAAGUCUCAUUUCGAAUACUCCAUCUAAUGCUCGAACAAGGUUUUUCAGUCAUCUUCUUGUAGAGAUGACGCUUUGAGACCUUGGGAUCUUCGACAGAAUGGCAAAGCUUCAGACAAAGCAAGAUUGGACUAAACAGGUUGCGAGCGCACCUGUUCAGCUUGGUGGAAGCAGUUGGGGUUUAGAGUUGCCCUUUGUAAAUUAAGCCACAGGCAAGUAGAUGGAAUUAGAGUCUUCCUUGUUAUCAAAGGUUCAUAGUGCUGGAUUUUGUUUUGUUUAUUGUACUUUUUGGUCGUUGUUGAUAAAUUUGGUUUUCCUUGUUUAGGUGUAUUAUUUUAGCUUAUGAUAAAAUAGGACUUGAGGUCCCUAUAUAUAUCUUGAAUCUCUGUUGGGAGUUUUGUAUCAUAGAGGGUGUUAAUUAGUGUAAUUUGUGAUGAUACCUUGUACAAUGUAACUAUAUUGAAGAAGAAAAGUGAAUGUUAAUUAGUGUAAUUUGUGAUGAUACCUUGUACAAUGUAACUAUAUUGAAGAAGAAAAGUUUUCACUGA